CCAUUUUCAGUUCCUCCCCCCCCCCCCCCCCUAAAUUCUUCGCUUCCUGGUUUUAGGUUUAUCCUCAAAAUCUGUGCCACCAUUAUGCAAUCCGAUCUCUCACUAGUCAAUCCUUCUCUUCGUCUUCCAGUCACGUUGAUCACUCACACUGGAGUAAGCAGUCGAUCUGCAACCCUUCACCACUAGCCGGUCAAUGUCCGGUCAACGACUUUGUUCUCCAAUCUCUUCUUAUGUGACUUCAUCUUCCUAUGUGUCACCGCCAACUCCCUUGUCGCCUCCCUCUGUCAGCAUCGUUACUGCCUCCCAACGCCAGACUACAAAUGGAGAGCAGAUUACUAUCAAAAGCUUGCAAGUUUUAAUAUACACAAAAUGAUACAACAAGAAAUGAAGAUGAAUAACUAAGCGCCAACUUCAUGUUGUCCAUUAAUAAUUUUAGUGUCUUUUUGGUAUGAUGGAAUGGCGAAGGGAAUGUAAUAGAAGAUUCCAUUACCGUCAAAAAAUACAGUUUGGUUACCUAUACAGAAAGCAAUGCUACACAUGGUAUGGUUUUUCUAACUUUUGAAACGUUUCACUCAUAAUGACAAAUAAAUUUCAACUCUUUUGGUUUUGAAUAACAAUGGACUUCUUGGUGGAGCUGUAAGAUUGAUCCAUGCAACAAGCUUGCAAUCCACCUAAUUAUCCUUAUAUUAUUGUUGUAAACACCAUUACUGUUUAAAACAAUUAUAUUAUUUUAUGUUUAGACAUUUAUAUUAUGUUUGUUUUUAAACCUUUGUUUAGAAGUUGUAUUGUAAUGGAUAAUAUUUUGGAUUUAUGUUUA